CUGAAGCCCAGAAGCAAGGAGGGCUUGUCCUGGUGUGUCCUGUAGUGGUUUGGGUGCCUCCAAAAGUUUUCAUACAAGCUCCAUAUUGUAAGAGGGAAAAGUGAGGAGCAGGGAGAGAAUGGACCGGAGAGUCUGCAUGGACUGGAGGGGACUCUGCAUGGACUGGAGGCUCUGCAUGGACUGGAGGAGACUCUGCAUGGACUGGAGGGGACUCUGCAUGGACUGGAGGAGACUCUGCAUGGACUGGAGGAGACUCUGCAUGGACUGGAGGGGACUCUGCAUGGACUGGAGGGGACUCUGCAUGGACUGGAGGGGACUCUGCAUGGACUGGAGGCUCUGCAUGGACUGGAGGGGACUCUGCAUGGACUGGAGGAGACUCUGCAUGGACUGGAGGGGACUCUGCAUGGACUGGAGGCUCUGCAUGGACUGGAGGAGACUCUGCAUGGACUGGAGGCUCUGCAUGGACUGGAGGGGACUCUGCAUGGACUGGAGGAGGCUCUGCAUGGUCUAGAGGCUCUGCAGUACCAAGAAGAAUGGAAAAGCAAUGAGAAGCAAACAAGUGUGAUUCCCAGCUUCAGGGCUCAGAAUCGGGCAUUUGGAUAAAUAUAGAGAACUCACCUUCUCAUUUCAUUAAUGGAAGGUUUUCCAUACAUACAUACAUACAUACAUACAUACAUACAUACAUACACACAUAUAUACAUACAUGUAUAUAUUAUUAAUACUAGCCGUUGCAGUGUUCAUUAAAUCGAGCCUGUAUAUCUUUUCAUGUUUACAAAUCUCUUUAAUGACACUGAUAUGAAUGUGCUCUUACUAAAACUGUCUUAGGGGAUUGUGGUCCUCCCUUCUCCCGGGGGUCAUUGGCUACUGGCAAGAGAUGACGACACUCAGGCACCAGCUUUGGGGAGACAGAUCAAACUUUAUUGAGAUGAGUCAAGGGCUAUAUAGUUUUGGGGAAGGAGAUAGGAAUAUCCAGGGCAAAGGCCCUUGGCUAAAGGCUCAGGCAUUGAGAUGCCUCAUUAGCGUGGGGAGACAUUCCAGGGAUCUCUCUCUGGUGCUGGCUG
ensembl:lncRNA